GAUGAACGCUGGCGGCGUGCUUAACACAUGCCAGUCGAACGGAAAGGCCCAAGCUUGCUUGGGUACUCGAGUGGCGAACGGGUGAGUAACACGUGGGUGAUCUGCCCUGCACUUCGGGAUAAGCCUGGGAAACUGGGUCUAAUACUGGAUAGGACCACUUCUUGGAUGUUGUGGUGGAAAGUUUUUUCGGUGUGGGAUGAGCUCGCGGCCUAUCAGCUUGUUGGUGGUGUAAUGGCCUACCAAGGCGUCGACGGGUAGCCGGCCUGAGAGGGUGUACGGCCACAUUGGGACUGAGAUACGGCCCAGACUCCUACGGGAGGCAGCAGUGGGGAAUAUUGCACAAUGGGCGCAAGCCUGAUGCAGCGACGCCGCGUGGGGGAUGACGGCCUUCGGGUUGUAAACUCCUUUCGCUAGGGACGAAGCGUUUUGUGACGGUACCUGGAGAAGAAGCACCGGCUAACUACGUG
rnacentral:rRNA from 1 species